GUUGCGUUGGCCCUUUCGAGUCCCGUUUCUCUUCGCUUCUCUUCCGACGACCGACCGAACCUUUGGAAUCCGGCGGUCGACCGAGCAACCGAUCGGAAUCCGCCGAUCGCGCCUAUGGAGAUAAAGAAUCUACACUUCCCUUUGGCUAAAGGAUGUCGAGGUGGGCAGCGUGGUGUGGCGUUGGCCUUCUUCUUUGCAUCCCUAGAUCAGCUCAGCCGAGGGCGAGAACGACGACGAGGAGGUCCAGAAGCUACUCUCAUUGGAGACAAGUUCAAGAUGGAUCUAGGGUUUCUGCAUGUAUCAUUAUGGCCUCCAGAGAUUGUUGUGCAGGCAGUUGUCUGUGAUGUCUUAUGUUCUUUCAGAUGGAAAAUAGUUUUGAAGAUCUCCUAAUUUUGUUCACCUCCCUCCUCCUCCUCUCUCUGCAUCCUUCGAAGUCUGAGGAAUGACACAUUUGAAGAAUAUCCAUCCUCCAAUAGCUCUAUUUCUCCCAUAUAGCUCUAUUUGUCCGGCUGGCUUCCCGUAUCUUCAGUCUUUCUGACCCAUGAAACUUGAGAUGCAAUUUUUCUAUUUCAUGUAAAGUAUGUGGGUUGUCAUUGUCUGCUAAACUAUUUUGACAGAUAAGUUCAUAUCAACCUCUCUCUGUCUCCCUCUCCCUCUCUCUCUGAAUUGCAACUUAGUUUGUUGAUGAAAAUGUAGUUUUGCAAUCCAUAGGUUCGUUCUUGCGGUGAGCUCUUGUCAGUGUUAGUGCAAGCAUAUGCAGAUUUAUGAUCUUACUCUUCUUGUUGAAUUAUCAAGUUUGUGCUUUCAUGGGUAUUCCCUUGCUAGUCUAUUCUGCUUCUUUGAAAAUUACACAUUUUACUCUGAGUAGUUUCUACAUGGUGUUGUAAAAUUUCUCACGUCAUGUUGAUUUUUUUCGUAUUUGUUCUAUGUGUAUAUUCACGGAUACGGUAAAGUCAGGUUUCCGGUGAAUUUGAAGAUACCAUAAUGCAAGAACCUCAGCCAGUCAGUUCUUGAUUCAAGUAGACGGCAAUUAUUCGUUGCUAUAGGAGGAACAAGAUACUGAAGUUAAUCAUUUAGUUCAUUUCAUUUGACUACAAAUCACAUCCAAUAUUUUCUUGUUGGUAACUCAAGAUGACUAGAGAGAACCAAAAUUGCAUGUUUUAACUUGUAAAAUUCUAGAUGUGUUACCUUUGUUUGAAGUAGUAUUGCAACUGAGAUGUACCUGAGAUAUGGAUAUGAUUUAUUUUCUUGUCUUUUAAGAAUCUCCUUUUUUUUUGUUCCAUUUGCUAUUACAUAUCAUUUUGACUUUCUUAAAGGGAUCUCUAAGGUGAAUAGUGUAAUAAUCAUCUGGUUCUAUCUGGGGAAGAUGUCAGGUUGCUUACAUUUGAAUUUAUUUGUUAGGAUUUCUAAGAUGGUUAGAUAGAAGUAAAGCUUUAAAAUUUAAACUAAUCUCAUUACAGCCAUCUCAAAUGAUGUUCGAUCUUUCCUUCUUAGGUAAUCUCUUGCAGACAUUCCUUUGACUAACUGAGUCUCUUUACAUUGAAUCUAUGUUUUAUGCUGUUUAGCAAUGUAGAAAUGCCCUUUUUUCUCUGCAUAGUUGCACUUGGUGUUCUUGGGAAGCAGUUUCUUAUUUGAUCUUUCUUCACUAAUUGAAGCUUGAUUGUCUUCUCUUCUCUAACAGUGGAUCUAUUUAAUCUUUUGGCAGUGCCUCUACCUACUAUUUUAUUUCAAGAUGAAUCUGAGGUUUCUGCAUGUACAAUCUUUGUUCCUAGACAGUAAUGGUGGAUGAUCAUCAAUUUUUUACUUUCUUUUUUUGUAUUUUAGGUAUUGUAGUAUAUUUUAUUCUAUUGUAUGGCAUGACUGGUGGUAGUUUACAAGGUUGCAUGCUCUAGUUGACAUCCAUGUAGAGAUUAUGGAAGGUAUGCUAUUACUUCUGCUUCCCUGGAAGUGCAAGUCAUGGCAUGUUGAGUUUGUGGCCUAUCAUAUUUUUCCCAAAAAGCCUGAGAGUGUUCCCUUGUUCGUCUCCUUUGGGGAUACAAAUGAUAUUUUAUAUUUUCUUAUAUGGAUCUUUUUUUGAUCAUCACUACAGAAGAAGAUCAAAAAGAAGGCUGGGAAUUGAGAUGGUUUAUAAUUAUGGUCUUGCAAAAAUCAAUAUAGUUGUGUUUUGUUUUAAAAAAUAACCUACUAAACUUGUUUAAUCAUUUCUUAUUUGGCUUUCUAAGAUGCACCUGACACAUGUCCACAGAAUUGAUGCUCUUGUCUCAUAAGAAUCAACCAUUUGUUUUUUUUUUCAGUUUGGUACCACAUUGGCAAUUUUAGUUUCAAUGUACAUAUUUCAAACAUGGAUUGAGAAUGAUGAAACUAUAAUGUACUUUAAUUAGACUUGGUUAACAUGGUGUUUGAUCUUUUUUUUCUAGGGUACCAUAUAUAAGAUUGAUAGAAUUAAUCAUCAAUGAUUUUGUCAUAAUUUUCUGACUUACUUUGAUUGAAUGGUUUUUGUCUCAGGAAAAAAAUUCUUGCAGAGAGUGGACUCUAGAUUCUUCUUUUUUCUAAACGAAUGAACUGUCUUGCCAGGAUUUCAGUUGGAUAAGUAUUGAGUCUCUUUCAGAUAAUCAUUGUGGUGACUGAGGUGGUUGUUUGAUCCUUCAUUCUUAGGUAAUUUCCUGCAGUUAUUUAUUUAUUUUGUGUGUCUUCUUUGCUGUCACCUUGUAUCUCCUCUCAUUUUGUUGUUCAGCAAUAUAGAAAUGCCCUUUUCUCUCCGCAUAGUUACAAGCGAUGUUCUUGGGAAGCAGUUUCCUAUUUGAUGUUUCUGAACUAACUGAAUUUUGGUGGUCUUCUCUUAUCUAAUGGCUAAUCUCUUCAGUCUUUUAGCAGUGCUGCUUCCAACUAUUUUAGUUCAAGAUGAAUCUGGAGUUUCUAUGUGUAUGUUCAUGGUUGCUAGAAGGGUAUGGUGGAUAUGGCCAAUCGUUUACUAUUUUUGCAGAUUGGCUAUUGCAGUAUAUCUUAUUCUUUUAUAUGUCUUGAUCAUUGAGAGAUUACAAGGUUACAUGCUCUAGUUGAUGUCCAUGCAGAGAUUAUGGAAGUUGGUUCAUGCCAGACUUGCAACUGAUGCUGUCAGUGGGGAGUUUUUAUUUGACUCUUUUGUGCAUGGUGUUGUUCUAAUUCUUUGCUUUGCCUGGCUGACAAAGCUAUGCAGUCUUUUAGGAUAGUCGUCUUUGAAUUUCCACUUGACAACUAAGGGGAAAAAAAAUAGUUUGUAAUUUGCAUUUCAUGGGAGUCUGUCCUGUUGUUAAUGCAUUUGUUUGAUGUGGUUUGUUUUGUCAGAUCGCUAGAAUAAUGUGUAAGUGGUGGUCUCUUAUCGGGCUCAUCAUACCAUUAUAUCUUGCUCGAGAAUCACCACUCCUAUACACGACUUGUACAGUGUCACCCACACCCCAAAUAGUAGGAUCAGAAGAGGAAACACAGAUGAAGGCUUAUUACGAAGCAUGAGGAUGCGAGAGCAUGUGCUAAAUCACAAACAAUUUCGCGUGCCGAAGACGAAAUGUAGGGCCGAGAAUAGGUCACCAAAGAGGAUGUUUUCCUUCUCCGUACUCUCUUUUCUUUUGGUUUUUUUCGCUUUUCACUUUUCUCUCCCUUUUCUCUGUGUUAUGCUCUUCACCACGCACAUCAAAACAGCCUCUUGAGUGAGUGGUUUUUUAAUUCCUACGUCCUCACCACAAAAGAUCAGGUGAUUUCCUCUUGAAUCUGGACCUUUCAUCAGACUUCUCAUGAAUUUGAGGUUUUUAAUCUUUAGCUCUUCCCUUAUUUGUUAUAAUCAAUGCUUGUGUAUGACUUGAGGAAUCAACGCUCAUCUCAUCAUUCAGAGAGCUCUCUGUGACUUCCUCAUGAUCUCAUUUGGAGAAGAGUUACCCAGAGACAAUACCAAAGCCUGCAAUUCAUCAUCUAGAACCACCUUCAUGGAGGCAAGUUGAUUCAUAAUUCUCUGCAAUUCAUUCAAGCAUUCUAUAAUCGAGCUGGCUUCAAGGAAUUUGAGGUUCAUCAGCUUUUUAGUCAAGAAAUCCUCGUUUCCAGUUGUCUUCCUCUCAUGCAGCCCAGUCUUGCUGCUUCCAUAAAGCAUGUGCUGAACUGUGCCGAUGCAUGAUGAAACAUAAUCAUUUGAUUAUGGGUUUUUUGCAUGGAUGAUACCCUUCUAAAUAUAGAAUU